UUUUCAAACCACGUAGCAUUAGAUUUUUUUGUAAAGGUUAACUUAACUAAACUAGCAAAAGAGAUUUGUUACUAGCAACAAAUGAACUUUAUGUGUAGCACAUGUGUUUCUAUAAAGCGUAAAACUCACACGUUUAACGUGAGUGACGCAGUAAACCAUGGUUUUAUUGUGGUAAAAGUGUAGUAACCAUGUUUACAUGGUUUAACUAUGGUUUUGGGAAACCAUGGAUGUCAAACCCAUGGUUAUUUUGUGGUUACUACGGUUUUACCACAGUAACCAUGUUUUUCUGGUUUUAACCGUAGUAAAACCAUGGUUAAUUUUCGUUAGGGUAAGAUUAUGUGAAGAUUUGCUGAGCAGCAAAGCAUGAUUCAUUAGAUAAUUUAGCAUUACAGCUACAGAGGCUACUUCUCACCUUACAAAUUACACUAAAUUGUUGGUCAAAUGGAAAUCUCUCUGUCCUCAGUCAGACAUCUCACCUUGGCUUAACUUACCUGUUGACCUUUACUCACAAGAUAAAACCAUUCUCUGCUUGGCUAGAGAGAGAGAAAUGCUGAUGAAGGACAGCGGCAGUCAUAAUGAUAAAGACAUUUAAUUUAAUGUGAAUAAGGUACCAGAGACAGAGUGUAUUCUGUAAAAAAGCAUAUAAUGUAUCUCUUUUUGUUUCCGUUACCAAUCUCAACCAUGACCUUUGACUGCUGAGCAUGUAAACAUUAAAAACACAUGAAAUAUAAUGUUGCUAAUAUUUGCUAAUGUCUCUUCAGGUUCCCACCACUUACAAUUACACACCGGGGCCAGCCACACCCACCACCUCCACUGGGACAUCAUACCGCUCGGGCUCUAGCACCAGCGUUACCACACCUUUACCAGCAACAGACUUCGCUCCAGUGACCUGUCUGUCAAAUGACUACCAAGGAAGACAUCAGAUUUCCAAAGAGGAGCUUGAACAUGUUCUUUCACUGAAAACCACCUUUACAGAAGCGGCAUCUAUUCUUUCAAUCUCAAGGCCAACUUUCUACAAGUUAUAAUAUCCCAACAUCAAAAUUUAAGAGCAUCAGUGAUCAACAGUUGGAUCUUGAAGUGUCACACAUAAAAACUGAACACCCAAAUGUUGGAGAAGUGAUGCUUAUGGGGCAUCUCCGCUCCAAAAACAUUGUGGUUCAAAGACAACGUGUAAGAGAUUCUCUGCGAAGAAUGGACCCAAUUGGUGUCCUAGCCAGGAGAAGAACAGCAAUAGCUCGGCGAGUAUACUCUGUCCCCCAUCCAAAUUUCAUAUGGCAUGUAGAUGGAAAUCAUAAGUUGAUUUGGUGGAAAUUAGUUGUUCAUGGUGCCAUAGACGGCUACAGUAGGAUGUUGAUGUUUCUUCACUGCUCCAACAAUAAUCGUGCUGAAACUGUUAAAGACCUCUUUACUGCAGCUGUUGGACAGUUUGGCAGACCACUGCACAUCAGGACUGAUCACGGAGGAGAAAACGUUUAGAUUUGGGAGGACAUGCAUGCGAGCAGGGGGGAAGGCUCUGUGUUAACAGGAAGGUCUGUACACAACCAGAGGAAAGAGGGUUUAAUCGAGACUUGAACAAAAACUGCAGCCAUGUUUAUGCACCCAUUUUUUAUGAACUGGAAUCCCUGGGUAUCCUAGACAUUGACAAUGCAACAAACCUAUUUUGUCUCCAUUAUGUCUUUCUACCCCGAAUCAACCGCACUUUGGAGGAAUUCAAAGCUGGAUUUAACAAUCACUCUAUAUCAUCUGAAGGAAAUAGAACACCAGUUCAGCUUUUUACUCUGGACAAUGAUUUGCCUCAUUUUCACAACCCAGAACGCUCAACAGCAGGGGUAGUUUUUUGUUCCUCACACAACUAUCAAAGAGGAUUUUCCCCAUUGAAUGAUAGGGAUUUGCAAGAACUGAAUGCUGCCAUUAACCCUCUUCAAAAUGACAACAACAAUGGCAAAACAUUGUUUCAGAGAACACAACAGUUUAUUUUUGAUAAACUCGUAAAUGUGUGACUUCAGCAUAACAUGGACAACUGGGUAACACUAGCCUUUUUGUACUUUCAAAAGUACACAACACAAAUAUUGAUGUUUUGUUGUGCUUCUUGAACUACAAGAUUUAAAACCUCUUGCCAGCAUAUAGAUGUUUGAAAAUUACAUGGCGGCACAUACUUGAUGUCAGUGUUAAAAAGGCUACAGACGCACUUUUGCAUCUGUUAGUUUUCUGUCAAGUCAAAAGCAAUGGUAGUGUGGAUAAAAACAAGAUGACUCAUGUUAUGUGAAAGAACAGUAAAAUACUUUUUAGGGCUCUACAGAUUGUCUACAGACAGUAUUGAUACAUAACUGAUUUCCACUACAUUGUUCUUGUUUUUUUAAAGUACCUAAAUAUGCAAAGUAAAAGUACUCAAUGAAGUAAAACAA